GCUGAAAUCUGAGAUGGGCUCUAGGCCCAUAUUGCAAUUUCUGAAAAAUCUCUAAGGGCCCAUGUGGGUUAUAUGGCACUAGGUGUGGUGGGAAGUUUAGUCCCACCCCGGAAGUGGAAGGAGAGUUGGAGUGGUUUAUAAGGGUUUCUCUUCUACAUGCUAUUGGAGCUUGAGAAGAGAAGAGGCCCUCGCGCACUCCUCCUCCGCCACCCGCCUCGCCACGCCACGCCUCGUCACGACGCGCCACGUCGGAUCGUGGGCUGUCACGGACUCGGACGUGGGUCGAGCCCACGUCUCUCCACGCGGCUGCGCCUAUAAGUAUGCGGUGUCUCCUAACCCUAGCCACCACGAACAGAUCACAUCUGCUCACGCGCACGCCCACCGUC
rnacentral:rRNA from 1 species